CAUGCAAGUCGAGGGGCAGCAUGAACUUAGCUUGCUAAGUUUGAUGGCGACCGGCGCACGGGUGAGUAACACGUAUCCAACCUGCCGAUGACUCGGGGAUAGCCUUUCGAAAGAAAGAUUAAUACCCGAUGGCAUAGUUCUUCCGCAUGGUAGAACUAUUAAAGAAUUUCGGUCAUCGAUGGGGAUGCGUUCCAUUAGGCUGUUGGCGGGGUAAUGGCCCACCAAGCCUUCGAUGGAUAGGGGUUCUGAGAGGAAGGUCCCCCACAUUGGAACUGAGACACGGUCCAAACUCCUACGGGAGGCAGCAGUGAGGAAUAUUGGUCAAUGGACGAGAGUCUGAACCAGCCAAGUAGCGUGAAGGAUGACUGCCCUAUGGGUUGUAAACUUCUUUUAUACGGGAAUAAAGUGAGGCACGUGUGCCUUUUUGUAUGUACCGUAUGAAUAAGGAUCGGCUAACUCCGUGCCAGCAGCCGCGGUAAUACGGAGGAUCCGAGCGUUAUCCGGAUUUAUUGGGUUUAAAGGGAGCGUAGGCGGACGCUUAAGUCAGUUGUGAAAGUUUGCGGCUCAACCGUAAAAUUGCAGUUGAUACUGGGUGUCUUGAGUACAGUAGAGGCAGGCGGAAUUCGUGGUGUAGCGGUGAAAUGCUUAGAUAUCACGAAGAACUCCGAUUGCGAAGGCAGCUUGCUGGACUGUAACUGACGCUGAUGCUCGAAAGUGUGGGUAUCAAACAGGAUUAGAUACCCUGGUAGUCCACACAGUAAACGAUGAAUACUCGCUGUUUGCGAUAUACAGUAAGCGGCCAAGCGAAAGCGUUAAGUAUUCCACCUGGGGAGUACGCCGGCAACGGUGAAACUCAAAGGAAUUGACGGGGGCCCGCACAAGCGGAGGAACAUGUGGUUUAAUUCGAUGAUACGCGAGGAACCUUACCCGGGCUUGAAUUGCAACUGAAUGAUGUG
rnacentral:rRNA from 1 species